UAAUAUUAAUUCUUGUGGUAUCACAUCCGGACAUUAUCAGGAACAUAUCAUUCCAGUACUCGUAUUUGAAAAUAUAGAACUAUACGCAUGCAUGAAUAUUGAGUAAAGAAAGAGUUCUGUUUAAAGUUUUGGUAAUGUUCAGGUUUAUGUUGGAGGUAGUGUUUUGUCAUUCAGAAAAGUUUUCAAAUUUGCACUAAUAAAGAAGUUUAAACACCCAUAGUAUUUACAAUUAAUUCGUGCAUUUUUUUGUUAAGAACAAUUUCCUUUUAUACGAGCAAGUUACGUCUUGAAACGUUAUGUACAUGCUUUGGUAGAGAUGCGCGGCGAUAUGAAAAGAUCUGUAUUGUCGUGUAUUAAUUCAUGCUUCUUGGCUUAAUUCGUUUCGUGAUUCAGAGCAAAUAAUCCUUAAAUUUUUAACCUUGUUUACCUUAAAGAAAAUCCAUGCUACGUAUUUUGUAAAUGUUUCUUUACCAAGAUUAAGCUCGUUAUAUAUAGUGGUGAAACUACGCAUAGCAACAAAUUCUAAAUUAUUAUAUUUUGCGUAAUUCAAACCAUUAGAGAAGUAUUGUCCUUCUAUUUAGAAACAGGUUAUUAGGUGCAGCAUGAUCAAAUGCAACGAUGAUCAAACUUGUCAAGUAUACCAUUUGUCAAUUGUAGAAUGACAGUUAAACUUUUGACGUAUAACAUUGAAAAAACGCCAAUCAUAUGAGCUUGAAAUUAAUACCAUGCACUGCACUAUCUGCUUGUGCUCGCGCAUGUGCAUAUAGAAAAAAAAUUCGCCCGCGUCCAUGACAUUUCACUGGCUAUGCUCUGACAACACAUGCAUACCUGAUCUUUCGCUUAACUGUCUUGGCGGGUGGCUCCGCGAUUAAAUUGGAUUUCUCGUAAAAGUAUGCUUAAAUACUGUAGGUGCA